AGGGCGGAGCGAGCACUCAGUAAGAAAGGAUAGCUUUUCUCCCUUUUCUGCUUCGCUCCCAACUAAGAAUGCAGAGUCAGGGAGAUGGCGCAGAGACAAUGCUGCUGUCCAUUGAAGCCCUCCAAAGGUCGGAGAUUCGAUCACAGGACAGCCUGGCCUGGACCAAGUCAGGUUGAUAUGGCUAGGCGGCCUGCUGGCGAGAUAGUGGGAGUGGGCGGUCCGCCCCUCAGGACCUCUGACUUGGACAGAUGACUGGAUGACUCUCUGGGGCAGCAUUCACCGGAACUCAUAUGGAGGGGACUGCCUGAGAAACCAACCUGUGUGCCUGGGUCAGGUUGAUAUGGCUAGGCGGCCUGCUGGCGAGAUAGUGGGAGUGGGCGGCCCGCCCCUCAGGACCUCUGACCUGGACAGAUGACUGGAUGACUCUCUGGGGCAGCAUUCACCGGAACUCAUAUGGAGAGGACUGCCUGAGAAACCAACCUGUGUGCCUGGGUCAGGUUGAUAUGGCUAGGCGGCCUGCUGGCGAGAUAGUGGGAGUGGGCGGUCCGCCCCUCAGGACCUCUGAUUUGGACAGAUGACUGGAUGACUCUCUGGGGCAGCAUUCACCGGAACUCAUAUGGAGGGGACUGCCUGAGAAACCAACCUGUGUGCCUGGGUCAGGUUGAUAUGGCUAGGCGGCCUGCUGGCGAGAUAGUGGGAGUGGGCGGUCCGCCCCUCAGGACCUCUGACUUGGACAGAUGACUGGAUGACUCUCUGGGGCAGCAUUCACCGGAACUCAUAUGGAGGGGGCUGCCUGAGAAACCAACCUGUGUGCCUGGGUCAGGUUGAUAUGGCUAGGCGGCCUGCUGGCGAGAUAGUGGGAGUGGGCGGUCCGCCCCUCAGGACCUCUGACUUGGACAGAUGACUGGAUGACUCUCUGGGGCAGCAUUCACCGGAACUCAUAUGGAGGGGGCUGCCUGAGAAACCAACCUGUGUGCCUGGGUCAGGUUGAUAUGGCUAGGCGGCCUGCUGGCGAGAUAGUGGGAGUGGGCGGUCCGCCCCUCAGGACCUCUGACUUGGACAGAUGACUGGAUGACUCUCUGGGGCAGCAUUCACCGGAACUCAUAUGGAGGGGGCUGCCUGAGAAACCAACCUGUGUGCCUGGGUUGAUAUGGCUAGGCGGCCUGCUGGCGAGAUAGUGGGAGUGGGCGGUCCGCCCCUCAGGACCUCUGACUUGGACAGAUGACUGGAUGACUCUCUGGGGCAGCAUUCACCGGAACUCAUAUGGAGGGGGCUGCCUGAGAAACCAACCUGUGUGCCUGGCCCACCACCUACCAGAGGUAUUGGAAAAGAACGGAUACGGAGGAAGUGGACCCAUUUAGAGGUGAUUAUUUGGAGCAAAUCCCAUCUGCUUUGUCAGUUAUUGAGCAGUUCCGUUCAUAGGCUGGCAAUGGCAGCUUGAUCCACUCUCAAAGUCUUCAUGGAUACACCAGCAGUCCGUUCAGUAAAGUCCAGAUAGCAGCAGUUGCACGACCUAGCAGGAACAACCAGGCCUCAGCUGAAGACAGUAGUCUACAGGAGGCAUUGGACUAGCAUGAAUGUCAGGAGAAACUUACAGCUGUGCCUCUCUUAAGGAAGUGAAGAUCAGUGAAGACAGGAGACCAAAAGGCGUUUAGCUGUGCAAGCAAGCCAAGCCCUUCUCCCAGUCCCUCCAAACAUCACUAGUCCUCCACAGGACUUGUCUCACCAUGUGUUGCCUCAGCAAAACUCACCUUUACAAACACAGCUUUGAAGGCCAGUUUUUUGAGUUAAUAAUGUAAACAAAUGUUAUUCUACGACAAACGUAGAAUUCAAGAGAAAAAUGGAGUAAUGAGUAAACCAGACAUUAAAAAAGAUUCUAUAAAUGAUCGAAUUACCUUUAGGCUACUGCAGCUUAGGUAUAAUGUAAGGGGAGUAAUAAUCUACAAAUAAGCAAAUGAGCCAAGAUGACCAAGAUGGAAAUGGUUUGAUUAGGAAUUUGAUUAGGGAAGUUCUGCCAAGGCAGGGAUAGUUGGGGUGGACACCUUUAGUCCCAGCACUGGGGCUUUAUGCAUGCUAAGGACGAGCUCUAUUGCUGGGCCCCACGCUCUAGAGUCAAUGCUCUAAAAUACUGCACAAACUAAUUCUCAGACAUUAACUGCAGGAAGAAUGCUCUAAUCCUAGAUGAGUGUUUUCAAAACAAAACUUAGCAGCGAAGACCAAAAAA
rnacentral:lncRNA from 1 species